AGGGAGUAAUAAGGGCACCAAUAUAGAUGAAUGGAGAUGGAUGAUGAAAAUCUUCAUUCCUAUUGGUCAAAAAUCAUGACCAAUAGGCUUUGAGGAGGCUUGCUGAGGCCAUAUUAGGGAUUAGGGUUAGUUUUUUGGGGCCAAUUGAGCUUUGAAGCCUAAGAUAAGUAAGUUUAGGUUUUUGGCUAUGAUUUUGGUGCAAAACUUGUAUGAUUUGGAGUUUAUAUGAAAGAGAUAUAGGCACUCUAAGUUAAGGUAUUGAUUUGGGAGCUACUGUCAUUCUUUUUGGUAUAACGCAUGCAUACGGAGGGCAAUUGAAGAGCAGCGACCAUGACUAGAGAGAGCACUUUUGUAGCUACACUUUUUGCAUAUUUUGAGCAAAAACUUUGUCAAUUAGAGUUUAGAGCGUUUGCUAGGUUUUCUUAGAUGCCAAAAGAUUGAGAGUGAAUUUGUAAUUGGUUUUUUUUUGGAGUAAAAGUUAAAGGCGAAUUCUACAUAUCCUAUGAAUUUGAAAUAAACUUAACUACUAGAUCAAGUGUAAUGAAUUUUUAAAGUUUGGAACAAGAAAACUCUUUGUGGAAAAAAUAUGUUUUGAAGGAAUUUUGAUAUAUUUUGAAUUUUAUACAAAUCAAAGGAGUUUUGGAAGCUAAGAUAAGAUUCAUAUAAAGGUUUAAGCUUAACUCUCUAUAGCUAGAUAUCUAGUAUAUUCUUAGAUAGCAAAUUAUACCAUACGACACUGUUUGCUUAGCUUUUGUCUUUCAUAUCUUAUUUUGUUUAGUUCUAUUUAGUUUUGUUCUGAUCUAUUUUGUCUUAUUUUGUGAUGAGGCUUUAUAUUGAUGUAGAUUAGAAGGAUCUUGGAUUUUUGAAAUAAUUUGGUCCUGUUUUAUUUGGUCUCAAAGUGAGUGUGAGACUA
rnacentral:lncRNA from 1 species